GUACCUCUCCAAUCUCUUCACUGCUGAUCUAAAACAGAAAACCAGGGAGAAAAAGUGAGGUCAAAAUCGUGGGCUUAGACCUGAAUUGCAUGAAAAGCAAGUUCAAAAAGUAAAGAAACUUUGUGCUAAGCACACCUUUAUAGGAUUCUCUCCAGGAAUUCUGGCUUCUCUCCCAUACAGCAAUCACUAGUGGCAUCCCUAAUUGGCUGAUUGGAACUUUACUGUGAAAGACUGCAAGCAAGGACUGAUAAGAAGCUGCAACAAACCCAUUCCGCCUGGCCUGCUGCCCUUACUAAGCCUCUGAGCGAGCCAAUAUCUGGUUCUUCCCCCUCCUCGAGGACGUGGUUAAUGGUUUCGCUCUGCAAAGAAAUGUAACAUUGUUUUAUAUCAAUUCUGAGAAUG